rnacentral:rRNA from 1 species
AUUGAACGCUGGCGGCAGGCCUAACACAUGCAAGUCGAGCGGAUGAGUGGAGCUUGCUCCAUGAUUCAGCGGCGGACGGGUGAGUAAUGCCUAGGAAUCUGCCUGGUAGUGGGGGACAACGUUUCGAAAGGAACGCUAAUACCGCAUACGUCCUACGGGAGAAAGCAGGGGACCUUCGGGCCUUGCGCUAUCAGAUGAGCCUAGGUCGGAUUAGCUAGUAGGUGAGGUAAUGGCUCACCUAGGCGACGAUCCGUAACUGGUCUGAGAGGAUGAUCAGUCACACUGGAACUGAGACACGGUCCAGACUCCUACGGGAGGCAGCAGUGGGGAAUAGUUGGACAAUGGGACGAAGCCUGAUCCAGCCAUGCCGCGUGUGUGAA